rnacentral:lncRNA from 13 species
CCGAGUGUGCACGGCAGCUGCAGCCCCAGUUCACACUGGAGUCUUUGGACACUAUUUGAGGAGUUAUUUAUAACCACGUCUGCUAGACUUGGUCUAGGUCAGACAAGAGAGUGUCGAAGACCAAGGGAACCUGUAAGGCUCGGCUGCUACUGUGGGAAAACUGGAAAGAUUGAAUGUCCUUUGGAGUUCACAAAGGUUUGGCAGUGGGAUGAGAAAAACAAAACGAAGCAUAGUGGGAGUGUUGAACAGACUUUCCCAAGAUUCCCAGGGAAAUCAACAAAAAGUAUUGCUUCCUUGCAAAUUGACAGGAAGGUUUCCAGCAUAAUAAGAGUGCAGAAAAAAAAAACAAGUUAAUUCAAGGAUAAAACUGUGAAUACAUAGAAGAGAAGACUAUGCCAGGAAAAGAGAUGGAGGUAGAG